rnacentral:rRNA from 1 species
GAUGAACGCUGGCGGCGUGCCUAAUACAUGCAAGUCGAGCGAACAGACGAGGAGCUUGCUCCUCUGACGUUAGCGGCGGACGGGUGAGUAACACGUGGAUAACCUACCUAUAGACUGGGAUUACUUUGGGAAACCGGAGCCUAUACCGGAAAAUAUUAUUGACCGCAUGGGUCCAUAGUUAAAGACGGUUUUGCUGUCACUUAUAGAUGGAUCCGCGCCGCAUUAGCUAGUUGGUAAGGUAACGGCUUACCAAGGCAACGAUGCGUAGCCGACCUGAGAGGGUGAACGGCCACACUGGAACUGAGACACGGUCCAGACUCCUACGGGAGGCAGCAGUAGGGAAUCUUCCGCAAUGGGCGAAAGCUUGACGGAGCAACGCCGCGUGAGUGAUGAAGGUCUUCGGAUCGUAAAACUCUGUUAUUAGGGAAGAACAAAUGUGUAAGUAACUAUGCACGUCUUGACGGUACCUAAUCAGAAAGCCACGGCUAACUACGUG